ACAACAGGUUGCGCCCUUGAUAACAGAGAUGAAUGCCACCAGAGACCCAUUUGGAUAGUCUUUGAGGCAAUAUUGCAGAACCUUUGGCUCUUACCACAAACAAAAGGAAGAGCUUAGGGGAUUUCCUAAAGUCCUUAGUCCUGUCCAAGUAGAAUGCUAGUGCUCUUGUAACAUCUAGUAUAUGCAGAAUCGCUUCCCUGUUGUCACAAUGUGAUUUGAGAAAAACAGGGAGAUGGAUCUGUUGUUUCAUAUGGAAAGUGGAGACAACUUUAUAGAAACUUGAGAUGUGGCUUUAGUUACUUUAUCUUUAAAAAAGAUCUUGAAUGGUGCAUGUGUCAUCAGAGCUGCUAUUUCUCCUAUGCACCUAGCUGAGGCCAUAGCAAUUAGAAAUGCUGUCUUCAUGGACAGGUGUAAGAAUGAGUCCAUGGCGACUUGCUCUAAGGGAGAUCUAGUCAGAGGUCUGAGAACUAGGUUAAGAUCCCAGGUUGGAGCAAGUGGUCUCGCAUGCAGGAAGAUAUUCCCAAUGUCCUUAAGGAAUCUAUAUAUCAGCAGGUAUGAACACAGAGUAUCUGUCUACUUGAUGAUGGCAGGCCAUUAUGGCUGUGAGGUGUACCUUAAGGGAGCUGAGCGAAAGUUUUGACCUUUUGAAGUCUAAAAUGUAAUAUAAAAAUCAGAGGGAGGACGAGGCCAGGUCUAUGUGCUUAGAAUGACACCAAAUUUUGAAUCAUUUCCAUUUUUGGAGGUAAGUAUGUCAAGUGGUUGACUUUCGGCCGUGUAGCAACACAUCUUUCACCUCAUCAGAGCAUUCGAUCUCUAAGUCUUGGAACCAAGAAAGAGCCAAGCAUGGAGAUGGUGGAUCCGCCUGAUGCUUUGAGAGAAAAGGUGAGGAAUGAGCUGAAGAGGAACCAUAGGACAUACUGCCAUCUGUGCCAGGUACAAGAUUUAACUCAGGUGAACAGUUUUUGGAAUUUUGCUGGCACUUGGUAAGAGGCUGGAAGUUAGUUACCUCCUUUUGUAGAUGGAGUUUGAAGAAACUGUUUGGUUUUGAAGGCAGCACGAGGCAAUUUUUUCUGCCUUUGCAUAGCUGUUGAAAGAUAAGAAGUGUUAUAUUUGUCUAGAAAGACAACAACUCAAUUCACUUGGGAUAUAGAACCACAUCUGCUUGUGAAGCAUCAGGGAACAAGCAGCUAGCAAAAAUUUUACACUCUAAAAAUCUACACAUUAAACCUUUAAUGCUUAGACAAAAAUGGUCAUCACAUUAUCCUAGAAGCAUCCAAUUAUGAAUGAAUAUUUGAAGAUUAAAAAGAUACAGAGGAAAAUUCAGCACUAAUGCUGCAUUUCAACAAUUACAAGCAAUCUCACACACAAUUAAGGGAAAAAGAAGGGAAAACUCUUCAAUUUCAAGUUUCUGUGGAAACUUCAAGAGGACUCAGCAUGGAUGUUAGAUGUCCUGGACAAGUUUGGAAGACUACGCCUUAGUUUUUCUGUA